rnacentral:rRNA from 1 species
AAUAGUAAGCAACAUAUUGCUCUUUAGUAUAACGUAGUAUAAUUAUAAUAUUAUGUUUUUAUAGUAUGGUGAAAGAAAUAAUUUAGUUAGAUAUAAGUACCUGUAAGGGAAAACAUUAAAUUACUAUUAGAAGAAAUAAAAAUUCGUACCUUUUGCAUUAUGGUAUUACGAAAAAUAAAAUUAAUUAAUUUUAUUUCGAAAUUUUUGUGAGCUUAAAAAAUAAGAUCUUAUUAUGUAGCAACAUAUAGAUUUAUAUUUUUUAAGAAGUUAUAUACUUAUCGCACAAAAAUAUAGCUAAUUUCUUAAUAAAAUUGUCUAAGCACUAAAGACAAAUCAUAAAGGAAAAGCUUUAUGAUUAAAAAUGAACAUUUAUUUUAGAAAUAAUAACAUAAGGACUUAAAAUAUCCAUAUAAAAAUAAUGUUAUAAUUUUAUUAUAAAUAAAAUUUAAUAAUUAUAGUCAUUUUUGUAUUAAGAUAUUAACUUAAACUAAUUAGUUAAAAAAUUAUGUAAUAAUGAGUAUUUUUACAAAAAAAAAGUCACUUCUUCAGGAAGCCAAUUAAGUAAAAUUAAUAAAAAUUUUGAAGGAACUCGGCAAUAAAAGUUUCAACUGUUUAUCAAAAACAUAGCUUUAUGAUUAAAAUUUAAAGUUAAGCCUGCCCGGUGAAUAUAUUUUUUAACGGCCGCGGUAUUUUGACCGUGCAAAGGUAGCGUAAUCAUUAGCCUUUUAAUUGGAGGCUGGUAUGAAUGGUUUUUUGAGAACUUUACUGUCUCCAAAAUUUUAAAUAGAAAUUAAUAUUUAGGUUAAAAAGCCUAAAUUUCAAUAAAAGACGAGAAGACCCUAUUGAGCUUUAUUUUCUUUAUAAUUCCAAUUUUUUACAAAAAAUAAUCUAUUACAAAGAAAAUUUGGUUGGGGCAACCAAGGAAUCUUAAGCUUCCUUUAUCAAAAACUUAAAUAAUCUUUUUUUUACAAAAAGAUAAAGUUACCAUAGGGAUAACAGCGUAAUCUCUUUUGAGAGUCCAUAUCAAAAAAGGGGGUUGCGACCUCGAUGUUGGAUUAGGGUAUCCUAAGGGUGCAGCAGCUCUUAAAGGUUGGUCUGUUCGACCAUUAAAACCCUACAUGAUCUGAGUUCAGACCGACGUAAGUCAGGUCAGUUUCUAUCUUUAUUCAUAAAAACUUCUUUCUAGUACGAAAGGAUUGAAAGAAGAGGAUUUUCCUUCAACUUAAAAUAAAUUAAUUUUUAUUAUUUUGAAAGUAUUAAACCUUAUAAAAUAAUGAGGACU